rnacentral:rRNA from 1 species
UGCUGCUUCGCUGACGAGUGGCGGACGGGUGAGUAAUGUCUGGGAAACUGCCUGAUGGAGGGGGAUAACUACUGGAAACGGUGGCUAAUACCGCAUAACGUCGCAAGACCAAAGAGGGGGACCUUCGGGCCUCUUGCCAUCAGAUGUGCCCAGAUGGGAUUAGCUUGUUGGUGAGGUAACGGCUCACCAAGGCGACGAUCCCUAGCUGGUCUGAGAGGAUGACCAGCCACACUGGAACUGAGACACGGUCCAGACUCCUACGGGAGGCAGCAGUGGGGAAUAUUGCACAAUGGGCGCAAGCCUGAUGCAGCCAUGCCGCGUGUAUGA